UGAGCAACCUGCCCCUGGCUCUGGGAUAACCCCGGGAAACCGGAGCUAAUACCGGAUACGAGACCUCGUGGCAUCACGAGGGCUGGGAAGUUUUUUCGGCCAGGGAUGGGCUCGCGGCCUAUCAGCUAGUUGGUGAGGUAACGCCCACCAAGGCGACGACGGGUAGCCGGCCUGAGAGGGCGACCGGCCACACUGGGACUGAGACACGGUCCAGACUCCUACGGGAGCA
rnacentral:rRNA from 1 species